GGAGAAUUAGCUCAGCUGGUUCAGAGCAUCUGCCUUACAAGCAGAGGGUCACUGGAUCGAC
rnacentral:tRNA from 1 species